CUGGUGUGGUGAAAGAAGAAGCCCUGCUGGGAACAGAAAAUAUAAAAAAAAUGCACUCUGUAGGAUGAAUUACAACUGUGCCCUUAGCUAGGUGCUUUUUUGGUUUCUUUUUGUUUGUUUGUGUGUUUUUUUUUUCUGGUGUGUGUGAGUCAGUCUCAUAAAAUAUAGAAUACUAACUAUCAUGUUUUUAAGUCAAGCUCUUUUGUGCUUUAGUAUGAGCUCUGUAUCAUUAGUUGAGUUACUUUUUUUUUGGUAGAAUUCAUUUUUUUUUUAAAUUAAUCACAGUAAUUCUUCUGGUCAUCAUAUGCACACCCCUUUGAAUUGCAACUGAGCCAUUCCUCCUCUCUUGACAUGACUCUAUUUCUCUACUUCUCAAAUCUGGGAAUGGUCAUCUGAAUUGUUUGGUCAACUAGAAGUUAGAAAUUUUAAAAUGGAAAAUUUUUAAAUUAGAAAAUUUAACACAAGCAUAUAUUUGAAAAAAUGCUCAAUUACUGGGGCUUUUCCUCUCUUGCUGUGCUUGAAAACUUGAGUCCAUGACAUGAUUGAGCUCAAGGCAGC
rnacentral:lncRNA from 10 species